ACUGAUGAGGGCGACUAUCAAGUUAAGCUUCGUAACAUUGUACGUUUCUUGGAAGACGGUGAUAAGGUUAAAAUUACAGUUCGUUUCCGUGGACGCGAAAUGGCACACCAAGAUAUCGGGUUAGACGUAUUAGAUCGUGUAAAACAAGAUACGGCUGAAAUUGCAAUGGUUGAGUCUGCACCGGGUAAGUUGGAAGGUCGUCAGGCGGUAAUGGUUAUUGCACCGAAGAAAAAAUAAUUUUAUUCUUGCAUAAAACGGGCGGAUCCUAUAGAAUCCGUCCGUUUUCUCUUUUAUUAAAGAGAAACAAAAGCAAUCUACAGGCACAUUUCGCAGCCUGA
rnacentral:misc_RNA from 1 species